rnacentral:rRNA from 1 species
UACGUAGGGUGCGAGCGUUGUCCGGAAUUAUUGGGCGUAAAGAGCUUGUAGGCGGUUUGUCGCGUCUGCUGUGAAAAUCCGGGGCUCAACCCCGGACUUGCAGUGGGUACGGGCAGACUAGAGUGUGGUAGGGGAGACUGGAAUUCCUGGUGUAGCGGUGGAAUGCGCAGAUAUCAGGAGGAACACCGAUGGCGAAGGCAGGUCUCUGGGCCACUACUGACGCUGAGAAGCGAAAGCAUGGGGAUCAAACAGG